GGUGGCUCAGUGGUAGAGCGCUUGCCUUGCCUGCCUGAGGCCCUGAGUUCCAUUCUCAGCACCA
rfam:Dipodomys ordii contig_52686, whole genome shotgun sequence.